UUUCGCAGCUCUCCGACAUUUGUCCGUGGAAUGACCAGUGAUUUUACAACGAGAACAGAACAACGGCAAAGAUUCGAAACCAAAUUCAAUGUAGAAAGAAUUAUUACCAUCAUCAAUGUACAUUGAAUUGAGAAGGGGCAACGCCAUAUUGAUUUCCACAAGGACCCUGGCGAAGUGCCCCACUUGGCCAUUAGCAGAGACGUUGUCAAUACGCAAUGGAUGUCCUAGGGCUCGACCAAUAUUA
rnacentral:lncRNA from 1 species